CCUACGGGAGGCUGCAGUGGGGAAUAUUGCACAAUGGGCGCAAGCCUGAUGCAGCCAUGCCGCGUGUGUGAAGAAGGCCUUCGGGUUGUAAAGCACUUUCAGCGGGGAGGAAGGCGGUGAGGUUAAUAACCUCAUCGAUUGACGUUACCCGCAGAAGAAGCACCGGCUAACUCCGUGCCAGCAGCCGCGGUAAUACGGAGGGUGCAAGCGUUAAUCGGAAUUACUGGGCGUAAAGCGCACGCAGGCGGUCUGUCAAGUCGGAUGUGAAAUCCCCGGGCUCAACCUGGGAACUGCAUUCGAAACUGGCAGGCUAGAGUCUUGUAGAGGGGGGUAGAAUUCCAGGUGUAGCGGUGAAAUGCGUAGAGAUCUGGAGGAAUACCGGUGGCGAAGGCGGCCCCCUGGACAAAGACUGACGCUCAGGUGCGAAAGCGUGGGGAGCAAACAGGAUUAGAUACCCGAUAGUC
rnacentral:rRNA from 1 species